rnacentral:rRNA from 1 species
GACGAACGCUGGCGGCGCGCUUAACACAUGCAAGUCGAGCGACGCGGCGGACGGGUGCGUACCACGUGAGUAACCUGCCUUAGACCUUGGGAUAGCCUCGGGAAACCGGGAUUAAUACCAAAUGGUCUAAGAUGGACUCGCGUCCCAUUAGCUAGUUGGGAGGUAACGGCCCACCAAGGCGACGAUGGGGAGCCGGCCGUAGAGGGUGAACGGCCACAUUUGAACUGAGAAACGGUCCAAGCUCUACGGGAGGCAGCAGUGGGGAAUAUUGCACAAUGGAGGGAACUCUGAUGCAGCGACGCCGCGUGAACGAAGAAGGCUUUCGAGUCGUAAAGUUCUUUUAUAUGGGAAGCGGUACCAUAAGAAAAAGCCCCGGCUAACUACGUGCCAGCAGCCGCGGUAAUAC